rnacentral:rRNA from 1 species
GUUAUAAGAUCCCUCGAAGAUGACGAGGUUAAUAGGUUCGAGGUGGAAGCGUGGUGACACGUGGAGCUGACGAAUACUAAUCGAUCGAAGACUUAAUCAA